rnacentral:rRNA from 1 species
GUGGGGAAUCUUCCGCAAUGGACGAAAGUCUGACGGAGCGACGCCGCGUGAGUGAUGAAGGCCUUCGGGUCGUAAAGCUCUGUCAUCGGGGACGAACGGCCUCAGCAGGUAAUGGCUGGGGAUUGAAGGUACCCGAGAAGGAAGCCACGGCUAACUACGUGCCAGCAGCCGCGGUAAUACGUAGGUGGCAAGCGUUGUCCGGAAUUAUUGGGCGUAAAGCGCGCGCAGGUGGGAUCUUAAGUCCAUUUUGAAAGUUCGGAGCUCAACUCCGUGAUGGGAUGGAAACUGGGAUUCUUGAGUACCGGAGAGGAAAGCGGAAUUCCCCGUGUAGCGGUGAAAUGCGUAGAUAUGGGGAGGAACACCAGUGGCGAAGGCGGCUUUCUGGACGGUGUCUGACACUGAGGCGCGAAAGCCAGGGGAGCGAACGGGAUUAGAAACCCCGGUAGUCC